rnacentral:rRNA from 1 species
CGGGAGGUGGGCGAGUGGCGAACGGGUGCGUAACACGUAGGAAUCUGCCCCAAAGAGGGGGAUAACCGCUGGAAACGGUGGCUAAUCCCGCAUACCCUCGCGAGAGGAAAGCUCCGGCGCUUUGGGAUGAGCCUGCGGCCUAUCAGGUAGUUGGUGGGGUAACGGCCCACCAAGCCGACGACGGGUAGGGGGCGUGAGAGCGUGGCCCCCCACACGGGAACUGAGACACGGUCCCGACGCCUACGGGCGGCAGCAGUGAGGAAUCUUGCACAAUGGGGGCAACCCUGAUGCAGCGACGCCGCGUGCGGGAAGAAGGCCUUCGGGUCGUAAACCGCUUUUCUGGGGGAAGAGGAAGGACGGUACCCCAGGAAUAAGUCCCGGCUAACUACGUGCCAGCAGCCGCGGUAAAACGUAGGGGGCGAGCGUUAUCCGGAAUUACUGGGCGUAAAGGGCGUCUAGGCGGCACGCCAAGUCUCGCGUGAAAGCUCCCGGCUCAACUGGGAGAGGGCGCGGGAAACUGGCGAGCUAGAGACUCGGAGGGGGGUGUGGAAUUCCCGGUGGAGUGGUGAAAUGCGUUGAGAUCGGGAGGAACACCCGUGGCGAAGGCGGCACCCUGGCCGAGGUCUGACGCUGAAGCGCGACAGCGUGGGGAGCAAACGGGAUUAGAUACCCCGGUAGUCCACGCCGUAAAUGAUGACAACUAGGUGUCGGGUGUCCAAGGACGUUCGGUACCGCAGCUAACGCGUUAAGUUGUCCGCCUGGGGAGUACGGCCGCAAGGCUAAAACUCAAAGGAAUUGACGGGGGCCCGCAC